rnacentral:rRNA from 1 species
AGUGAACGCUGCGGCAUGCCUAACACAUGCAAGUCGAACGGCAGCACAGCAGUAGCAAUACGUGUGGGUGGCGAGUGGCGGACGGGUGAGGAACACAUCGGAAUUUGCCCAGUCGUGGGGGAUAACGUAGGGAAACUUACGCUAAUACCGCAUACGACCUAACGGUGAAAGCGGGGGAUCGCAAGACCUCGCGCGGAUGGAUAAGCCGAUGUCGGAUUAGCUAGUUGGCGGGGUAAAGGCCCACCAAGGCGACGAUCCGUAGCUGGUCUGAGAGGAUGAUCAGCCACACUGGGACUGAGACACGGCCCAGACUCCUACGGGAGGCAGCAGUGGGGAAUAUUGGACAAUGGGGGCAACCCUGAUCCAGCAAUGCCGCGUGUGUGAAGAAGGCCUUCGGGUUGUAAAGCACUUUUAUCGGGAACGAAACAUUGUCGGUGAAUAUCCGGCAAGACUGACGGUACCCGAGGAAUAAGCACCGGCUAACUUCGUG